UACAGAGGGUGCGAGCGUUGUUCGGAAUUAUUGGGCGUAAAGGGCGCGUAGGCGGUGCGGUAAGUCACCUGUGAAAUCUCCUGGCUCAACUGGGAGCUUGCAGGCGAAACUGCCGUGCUGGAGUGUGGGAGAGGUGCGUGGAAUUCCUGGUGUAGCGGUGAAAUGCGUAGAUAUCAGGAGGAACACCUGUGGCGAAAGCGGAUCACUGGACCACAACUGACGCUGAGGCGCGAAAGCUAGGGGAGCAAACAGG
rnacentral:rRNA from 1 species